UACAGAGGUCCCAAGCGUUGUUCGGAUUCACUGGGCGUAAAGGGUGCGUAGGCGGUCGGGUAAGUCUGAUGUGAAAUCUCCAAGCUUAACUUGGAAAUGGCAUCGGAUACUAUCCGGCUGGAGGAAUGGAGGGGAGACUGGAAUUCUCGGUGUAGCAGUGAAAUGCGUAGAUAUCGAGAGGAACACCAGUGGCGAAGGCGAGUCCCUGGACGAUACCUGACACUGAGGCACGAAAGCCAAGGGAGCAAACAGG
rnacentral:rRNA from 1 species